UUUCAAGGCCGAUAUUAUGGAUGAAGGGGCUGAUUUCCUUUAUAAAUUCAUGUAGUGUUAUUAUGAAGUAUUGGAAACAAUAUAUCAGAAGAAAACCCUGCUUAUGCCAGUUUUUGCCACAGUGAAAAAGAAUGUGACGAGCACCUCAGUUGUCUAAGGUCAUAGCCUCUAUCUUGAGACUGGAUCCCAGCUGACAGCGUGGCGCAUAGCUCUCCAUCCCACCUCACGAUGGCUCACACAUGGGAGCAAUCAGGGGCUGGGGAAACACUGCUCUGUCAUCUUUGCUUCAAAGACUACAUAUCGGCACCUCCUCCUCAGCUGGACCAAUCUGCAUUGCUUGAAGCCAAUUGAAAGGAUGAAGAAAAGUCCCAGCCAGCUCUGUACACAUCAAUACAUGGAAAUAAGGUCAGGUUCAGCCAAAAUGGAGACAACUGCUCCACCUUCAAGGAGAGUCACUCAGGUGGUCCUCCACACUCACUACGAUGUGAAUUUGCACACAACCCCCGGAGGAUGUGCACUUCCAUUUGAAAAGCGCUUCUCAAUAGGAUGCAAAUUGAAGCCAAGAAGCAGAAUUCACAGACACAAAUUAAUGGAACAAUUUCUCUACACUUCUGUGAUUUUAUUAGCUGAAUUAUGGGUGCGGCUUAUUUCAUGGAUCAGAUGACAGAGUCUUCUAGGUCUGUGGAUUCAGUACUCAGCAAUUAUCCAGUUAAUAUGAUUAAUGUGGGCAGUAAAACCGAGCAUCAGCGUGGUCACGGGGGUGUCGUGUUUCUUAGACUUGGAAACCACAUCACAUCUGUGAAAAGAAGUGCUCUUUUGAAGGAAUGAAACUCCGGAAGGUACCUCAUUCCUCUCCAAUGCCUCCGUAUGGCUUCUGCACCCUCCUCCUUCUGGGUUCGCUCAAUAUUUUGCAAAUCUUCAUUUCUGGUCACAUGGCACAAAUGCUGUCAGUCUGAAUCACCUCAAAAUUCUUCAGCAUUGGACAGAGCUAAUUCUGCGCUGGAACAUGCUGACUAAGCACUGACUAAACUAAGAUAGUGAUGACCCAUGGUCAUACAAAGAAUGAGAGAACUGCUGAUUUAAAUGUUAUUUUCUGUCUCAUAUGCCCACUCUUUAAGUGAAAAAUUACCUUAAAAACAUUCAAUACUAGCAAAAUGACUGAAGUAGCUUUUGCUACCUAUUCCUGGGUAAAGCAUAGGUGCUAAGUACCGGAGAGCAUUGAUCUGUUUAUGCUUCACACCCACCUGAGCCAUGUUGUCCUCUAUAGUGAGGACUGAUGCAGGAAGGACUGGGGCAGUGAAUCCCCCUGUUCAACACUGUAGGUGAACCUGGGACAGGUAAGCCCUGGGCUGAACAAAAGUUCAAAGGCAGAGCUGCCUGGUUAUAGAGUCUACGUUCUCAGCACCAAGAUGUGCUCGUUUUGGGUCUGUGGCAAGUCAAAGAAGGCCAGGUGGAGGAGAAGACAGACUUAGUUCUAUCCAGUGAGCAACAUUAGUAUUAGAAUCCACAUCCCACACAGAAAGAAGCUGCACCUCAGGUGCAUGUGGCCAGCACAAAACAGAGCCCACGGUCCGAGUGGAACAUAAUUUAGUAAGUACUGUCAUUUUGUACCUCUUGUUUGACUUUUAAUAGCUCCUCAGGUCACGACUAGUCUUUUGUCAUGCUAACAGAGUUUGCUAGUGAAAUCAUAUAAUUUGAAGGCAUUGAUUAGAAGCCUCCAUUCUAAAGACUCCCAUCAACAUACUGGUGUGUUUUAACUUAGCAAAAUCGCAUUAAUACUGAAGGCUCAGGUUCAUCUUAAAUCUCUUUUCACAGUUCAAAAAUUUCUCAUGGCAGACAAUGCAUUGAUUCUUUAAUUGCUGUGAGUUUCCACUUUAGCCCAGUUCUUUGGAGCUAUGAUGAGGCACCCGAAGUUUUAACUUACUUGUAGAACAGCUGAGAUGAGUUUGUAACAUACCAAUUUGCAGAAGGAUGAAGUUAUUGCCCCCAAGGCCAUACAAGUUAGAUGUAGUAAAGUUUGGGUAUUAACCCAGGACCUCAGAUUUUUCCGUUGGGAACUGUCAUGCUAUAUGAGGGAAUUUAGAAGGGAAUACUCUAACAGAACCUUAAGAAGAUAGGGCAUGGAAUGGUGGGUUUUGAUGAAGUCUGUCAUUAUGGAGCAAGUACAAAAAGAUGCCUCUGUAGUCACAGAAGAAACAUAAAAGUCUGAAACCACAGGAAGGACUAACUAAUGGUAGCUUAGACUUGCAAAAAAGAAAUCCCAUUGUAAGGCAUGGUGACUAUACCAAAUAGUUUCGUCAAUAAAGACACCUCCCACUUAUUUGAAGAAGCUAGUGUUCUGCUUAAGAAAAGAUGCCUAAAGUACUUCAUCUUAAAAAUACUAAUGGAGUGAGGAGAUGAUGGUACAUGCCUAUAUCACACCACUAUGGGAGCCUGAGGCAGGAGGAUCAAAAUUUCAAGCCCACUCUGGGUGAUUUGGUGACUUAGCAAGACCCUGCUGCAAAAUAAAAAAUAAAAAGAGCUUCAGCUCAUUGUGAAGACCCUUGGUUCAAUCCCCGCCACCACAAGAAUAGUAACAACAGUAGGAAUAAUUUAAAACUAAUUCUAGAGAAGGAAACACUACAAAAAAUAAUUAUAUAAAAUUAUGCAGUUGGCGGAAGUUAUGUGACAGCCAUAUAGUUACAAGGUGGGUAAGAGUAAAGUUUGGUUUCUCCAGCAGCUUAGUGAAAGCAAUAGACCUAUGAAGGUGAAAAGCCACAAGUGAGGUGGAGAGAUUGUAGCAUCUCAGACACCAAGAAGAGGAACACUGAGGAACCCUGCACUGAGGGAGAAGAUGAGAAGUUGAAGGAGCCAGAGUGGCCAGGCUCUUUAGGAUAAGCACAAAAGGAGGACAUGAAGGUUUCAGCAAAGGUCAUGGAUGUAGUAAGACUGCACCUUUGCCCGGACAUCCAGAUAGAGAACAGUUAGGAACACUUAUGAUUUAAAAAGAAAUAUAUUUCAAGUUAUAUGUAUUUCAGCACUUCUGUGCUCUGCCUGUGGAAAUGCCCUGAUGUGCCAGUUUGUGUUUUCUGGUUCAUGUAGUCUUGCCAAAACCAUCUGCAGGGGACAGAGCAAUUACUUUCCUCCCAAGCACAAUUAGGAGCAUCUUUUCCACACAGUGGAUGCUGCUGAUCUUCAUUGCUUUCCCUGUCUCUUCCUGGAUUCCAUCUCCUGGCUUUUGAGAGACACAGACUGGAACAUUUCCCUCUCUUACCAUCCCUUGAAGACCCUGUUUUCUUUCCCAGCAGCUGCUCUGUGUCUGAGAAGGUAAAAUUCCAUUUCAAAGCUGGUCCUUGGGCUGCACUUUGACCAUGAUUACUGCAACUCUCGACUCCAAGUCAGCACUUAAGGCAGACUAGCAGGUACCUGCUUUCCCUGCCUGCACUUUAAAAGGAAAGCAGGCAGUAGCAGGAAAAAUUUAUAAUGGAUUGUAUGUCACUGCUCACAUGAAGCCUACAGGUAUUUUGUUUUCUUUUCAUAGGCUCGAUUUACACCAUUUCUUCAAUUCUUUCCUUCCUAGCCUCUUAUGAGGUCACAUUUCAGACAGUGGCAAAGGCAUAAACAGAGGCAACAAAAAUGGGGAUGCACUCUUGGUCUUUAUUUUAUUCUCUUCCUCUUCUUGAUGAUUUUUCCCUUUCUCUUCAAUCUGCCUCUAAAAUUUUCCCUGAAAUUAAACCUCAGAAAUGGUAGAGUUAGUGGUUUAUUAUUUUCUGGCAAAAAAGCAGUUUUUCCUUCUGAUGUGUGUCUUUAAAAGUCCUAUUUUAAUGUUCAUAGGCACCCCACAGGUAGAUUGAGAGAGGAAAUAACUGUAAAAGCUCAGUUUGACAAUUUUGUGUGAUCAAAGGAGUUCAAAGGCAAAUCAGGGUCCUAGGAAAGGUGUGGGGGAAGUGAGGUAGACCAAAACCUGUCCUUUCAACCUGGUGGAGGAUGAAGACUUUGAGCAUAAAGGAAGACGGUGAAAAAAGUUGAAAUGAUCAGUGGUAUUGGAAUGGGAUUGAACCUGAUGAACACAUCCAGUACCAGGAGAAAACCAGGAUAUAAUUGUUGUCACUUCGGACCCCAAUUACCUUCACUUCUCUGUGUGUGCAUACCUUCUUCUCUAUCACAGAGCAGCUCCCCUCCCUGCUGGUCCUCUUCACAGGUAGAGUAAACCGUCUACUUCCCUGUAGUCAUGUGAUUUGUUUUUGCACAACAGAAAAAGGCAGUGGUUCUAAAGUGCCAAUAUUAGGGUGAUAACUAACAGGGCCUCUUUGACUGCUUUUAUUACUGGCAUUUGCACCUUCAUGGGGGACAGACCACCCACAGCAAUGUCUUAGUACAUAAGUUCAAAAACUAAAUAAAUUCUUUUUGUUGUAUUAUGUUGAGAUUCUGUGGUUGUUACAGAGCCAUAGGGGAUCAAUACAAUAAUCAGGUGCUUGUCCUGACUAUUGCAACACAGAGGAAACCAAAGCAAAGAUCACAAUGACAAGGACACAUUAAGAGUUCAUGAGGAAUGGAUGACUGAAGACGAAAGUUCUCAGUUAGACAAACUUCAAAAGGCUAUAGCAUUUAGGUUGUCUUCCUAAUACCUGCUGCAAAGGAAAAC
ensembl:lincRNA